rnacentral:tRNA from 1 species
GGCGUUCGAAAGGGUUACUUCGACUCUUAAUCGACAGGUCGCUGGUUCGAGUCCAGCUUCCGCUG